rnacentral:misc_RNA from 1 species
GGGUUACAAAUUACAGAGUCCGAAGCUAUGAAUGAUAACCACCUUUAUUUAGUACCUACCAAAGAAAUCAUAGAGAAAAUGGACAACGACACACUCUAUCUUUUGUUUGAUAAAAAGUAAAUGUACUACCAAGAGUUGUGCAAAAAUACCUGACUCAUCAUAACGGCCGACAGAAUUCAGAGUAAUGUACUGAAGAACCGCACAAAAUGCGUACAUUAUAAUCAUUUAUUGGAUCAAGGUAAGAGCAUAAUUUUUAUUGCGAUAGGUUAAAGGAUCCAGCACUUUAAAAGCAGUUUUAGUUGCAUGACAUGUCAUGACGAUGAAAAGCCUACUCACGUGCAAGUAUUUGUCAAUAGACACUAACUCCCACAAUGAAGUUAAGAUAUGACAAAUAGGAUGCCUCAUUUCCAACGUAAGAAGCUUGAAACGCUUAGCUCUGUUCCAAUACACAUUUUUGGUACCAUCAUCCUUGUUAUAUGAUGUUGUUUUUUUUUACUCGAAAUCAUCCUUUAAGAUAAAAAAGACAAAUAUCAAACAGGGAAUGCCACGUACCAAAAACGCAGCCUCCACAAAACGAAACCCACAGCACGUAGACGUGCACACCACUCACAAACACACACACUCGCACACAGGACAAAACGAACAAACAAAGGAACACAGUGUGGCACCGACUUGGAAUGGUCAGAAACCUGCUUUUCUUGUAUACGUCCAUUCAGGUUGAAUGUAUUUCUAGCUCGAAACAAGUACCGCCAAAAAUUUGAUUACUAAAUUAUACCCAACCAUACUAGCAGAGGACUACAAAGGAAAAUUUUUGUCCCUUUUGUAGGAUCAAAAGACGAGUUUACAUACCAGGUACUUUAACUCUGACUCUUAUUCUAACAAAUUGUUUAUCUACCCAAUAUGAUCUAAGACUGAUAUUUCCUUUGAUAUUUCUGAAAAAACAUUUGAAUUCAUUGUGUCAAUUUACUUUUUUAAGCAUUAACGAAAUAAAUAAAAGUUUUGUAUUUGAACUUCAAAGCAGCUUGAUACGAUUAAGAUCUUAUAAUUGUGAUUUAAUAUUUUAACAAAAUCAUUUCCAUUUACCACGUUGAAAACUGCAACAGAACGAGUCUAUUAUUUUUGUAACGUAUUUAUGCAAUUGAUGUUUAGGUCAUUUUGUCACUUUAUAAAUACAUAUGUAUCCUUUAAUAAUACUGCCUUCUAUUUUAAAAUAUUCCCCACUUUGUUGUAGAUACUGUGUUUUAACAUUUAUGUAGAAGGCCAUAUUGGAAAUAAGUUGUAUGUAUACUAUGUACUCUUAAUACGUCACCUUCUUAAAAUAACGUUAUUAUCAUUAUCAUUAUUAUUUCACUUUCAUUACAAAAAGUCCAGACACCAAUGCAGGUUUCGCAUUGAACUUCUGAAGCGGUUGUAAGGCUCUUAAGGAAAGUUGAUAUAUAAUGUCCAAUAAUUAUGACAAAAUUACUUAGGUAUUUAUCAUCUGAAAGGAAAGAAAAGUUUUAUUCUCCACAGGUAUGUUCUUCAAAACCAGUUUUACUGCUCUAAUUUAUUACGACAAGGCCCAUGGAAUGCGUCCGGAAAAACUAUAUGUGCAGAUGACCCAUUCAAGCCAAGUUCUCCAUGUAUAGUGUAUUCAUUCGGGUCAAAAUUGGAUUUUGCCUUUGAAGAGGCCAGCUGGAGGUCAUUCGGAUGCGAAAUACACACAUUUGACCCAAGUUUACCAAUAGAGCACGCAAGAAUACCUGUUUUCGUAAACUUUCAUCUUAUCGGACUCUCUGGGAGGGAUUUUGUUCAGACAGAACCAGAGGUUUGGAGACAUCACGAUUUGCCUCUCCGAAAAACAUGGAAGAUGCAAAGGCUUUCUUCAAUACAGAAGUCGCUUUCUCAUGCCAACAAAUUAAUAGACAUUCUGAAGAUAGAUAUAGAAGGAUGGGAAUGGGACGUCUUGUCAGAUAUCCUCCAAACGGGAGCUUUCAACAAUGUUAAGCAACUUUGCUUGGAAGUACACUUUGGUUUUAGUUUUAAGCAUGUAGUAAAAGAAGGAAAGAAGUUGAAACUGAAGUUUACUAAAAAUACAUGGGGUAAUGUUUCAAUGAAAGACCAAAUAAAGCUUCUGUUGUGAUUAUUUAAUGCUGGAUUCAGAAUUACUGCAAAGCAAUCAUUUGGUUGGGGGUCAGUUUACGUAAAAAAUAAAGGAAUCGCUACACUCGUUGAGUUAACGUUGGUCAAUAUUAAUUUAUUGAAUAAAAAGUAUAUUUUCUGAUAAGCUUUUUUUCAUCCGCAAAAAUGAUGUAUAGUGCAUUUGCUUGUGUCUGUAUAACAUCAAAGUAAUUAAAUCUAGUGAACACAUGAUGAGAAAUGAUUUUCAUAUUUGUAUGUACUUUGAAGCAUGAUAAGGACUACAUGUAAGGUCUUCUGAACCGUUAACUAUUUAAGACUCGGAGCGGGUGUUAAGCCGCUGAUCACUGCAAGCAGUUGACGACUUGUGCUCUUGUAUAUGCGUGUUUUAUCAUCUUCGUUUUCUUUUACUUUAAUUUGUUCAUCAUAUACGUAUCUUGGAAAAAGAUACACUGCUGUUUAAGCAGGCUGCACUCUUAGGAUUCAUUUUGUCCGAUUUGUUCUUGAUCCUUACUUAUUUGGUAACUAAGAUGUUAGUGCUACGUGUUAAUCAGUAGUGUUUUAGGUUUCGUCCUAGAAAAAAGAAUUUAUCAAAUUUCCAUACAAAACUAAGAAAACUGAUCUGUGUAGCGAGAUAAGAUAAGCGGAAUCAACAACCCAAAUUUUGGGUUUGGAAGCAGUAUUGUACAAUAUGUAACCUUAGUUUUUAAAGGAAGGAUAAUUUAGCAUAGCUCUAUCAUUGGUUAUGAAGUUAUAUAACGGUAGGCCCUAGAUGCCGAAAUAACAGUUUUAUUAUAAGUACCGGAUGACCCCAAGUGAUAAGGGUCACAUAACUAACUUGACAAGAUUUGAAAACGCAAGAAACUUACGUUGUAAUAUGUUUUACUACAAAAAGCAUUACCUUGAAAUGUGCAAAUAUUAAACCUGAUUUUCAGUGAUCAUCAAUGUUACCUACUGACGUGCUUCCUUAAUAUUUUAGCAUCUUUUUGGCUUUUGAAACAUACAGCUCAUAUUACUCAGGUGAGUGAUCCAGGGUCAUCAUGACCCUCUUGUAAACUCAUUUGCAGCUUCUGGUCCUAAAUGUAGCUAGCUAUCACAUUGUUUGCAGUAGUUAUUCAUAAAUGUAGCUUGUUUGCAGCAUUUGUUGUGAGGUCAUCAGUUUCCCAUAGGCACGUAUCUAUUUUAUCAUAAUAUGAAAGUAUUAAAACUUUAGAGACUGGUAACAAGACCUUUUUUAAAGGAUUUUGACAAAUCCUUGUAGGAUGCUUUCCAGCUAUGUUCAGGAAUUAUGAAUGACUUAAUAAUUUAUAAAAAUGCUCUUAUGUUUUAUCAGUGAAUAAAAUAUAAGCAGUAGUUUUGAUGUCUUUAAAUUACAGCAUAAGUGAUUUAAGUGAUUGAAUUAAUCUCUUCAAAACAACUGCCUGUAUUUUCCGCUUAACUAUACGAAGUAUGGAGAGCUGUCCACUCGACCCGGUGUUAGUGUCUUGAUGCACUUUCUCUUUAUCUCUGUAAUCACUUGAUUGAUUCGUUCCAAACUUAAAAUAAUGUUUUCUCAACAUCACCUGCAUCAUAUGGCACAAGUGCCGUAACUCUCACACGAACAUUUCAUAAAUUAUUCCCACUUUUAGUUAGAAUUUCAGGUAAAGUUUUUCAUGCACUUUUACUCUAUCUGAGUCAUUACAAAAUGUAUUUCAUUCAAACAACAAAUAGUUGUUUCCCAUCAGCACCCACAUCAUAUGACAAAAGACCUAUAACUCUAGCAGCUAUUUUUCAUGAAUUAUGGAAUCAUGCCCCGAUUUUAUUUUCAUCUUCAUGCGUGUUAACUUUAUCUCUGUUAUAGCAGAAAGGAUUUGAUUCAAACUUAAAAAUAAAUGUUUCACAUCAUUCGCACAUCGCAUGACACAAGGGCCGUUACUAUUACACCAAUAUUUCAUGAAUUUUCCACCUUUCUUUAAUUUUAGGUUAAAGUUUUCGUGCACUUGCACUAUUCUAUCUCGGUAAUGCUUAACUGAUUUUAUCCAAACUUAGAAAAGUUGUUCCGCAUCAGCACCCACAGCAUAUGACACAAGGUCAAUAAUUAUAGCGUCAAUUUACAUGAAUUAUGCUCACCUAGACUUUUACUUGGAAUUUAAGGUUUAUUUUGAUGCAUUUUCACUAUAUCUUUGUUAUUACAGAGAGGAUUUGAUUCAAACUUAAAAUAGUUGUUCAACAUCAUCACUAGCACCCUAUAAAGCAAGGACUAUUACUCUAGCACAAUUAUUUCCUGAAUUAUCUGUCCUUUUUUCUUAGAAUUUCGGGUUAAAAUUAUGUGCACUUUUUCUCAAUUUCCGUUUUUACUGAUCAGAUUUGAUUCAAACUUAAAGUAAUUGUUCAGCAUCAUCACCUACACAUUAUGCCACUAGGAGCAUUACUCUUGCAACAAAAUAUCAUGAAUUAUGCACCCUUUUCGCUUAGAAUUAUACUUAUUUGAUGUUCUUAUACACUUUAUUUCUAUUAUUAUUUUACUUUAGACAUAGACCCAAGCAAUUGUCCAAUGUCUUUAUCCACAUUUGAGUCAAUAAACACUGCAGUCACAGCUCCAGCUUCCUCAGAUGUCCCCAGUUUCACUAUCCAGCAUCGAAAUAGUCGAGCGCACUAUCUUCUUUGACAGCUCUUUCUUAUUCACUAAUAACGUAAAUGAAAAUAUUUACUUUCUUUUCUCAAGAAAUACCUAGUUCUAAAAUCAUGCGAUGAAGGAUGUUUUAAAUUCCGUACAUAAGAUUAUAAUAAGUAAAUAUACAUAAUUGUUAUUUAUCAUUUUUAAGCUUGUUUACAGUGAAAUAAGUCUUGAUUUUAAUCUGUUUUGUUUAGAUAUUUUUCAUAGAAAGUUAAUUCUUAUCAGUUAUAUAUAUAUUACACAUGAUGAAUUUGGAUUAAGGUGGAUUUAUUAGUCCCCUACUGGUUGAAAUAACUUGCGGGGACGAUAGGAAUGCACUUUCCGCCCGUCUGUCCGUCCAUCCGCAAUUUCAUGUCUGGUCCAUAUAUCUGUCAUUCAUGAAGGGAUUUUAAUAUUACUUGGCACAAAUCUUUCAAAUAAUGAGAAGACGUGUCAUGCACAAGACCCGGACCCCUGUCUCACAGGGGUCUCAAUCAACCAUCUAUGAAGAGAUUUUUCUAUUACUUGUCACAAAAAUACAAAUAUAUCCUUUCAGACUCCUAGCUAAAAUGUCACACUUGGCAGUCAAAUGUUUACAUGGCAUGAACAGAGUCUGUUUUGUGUCAGGUCCAUAACUGUGACAUACAUUAAGGGAUUUUUAUAUUACUUGGUACUAAUAUUCUCAAUGAUACGUGUCCUGCGCAACACCCAGAACCCUAGCUUAAGGGUCAAGCUUACACUUUGAGAUCAAAUGUUAGUAGGAUUUUUUCCUGUCCGGUCUAAAUCUUUGUCAAGCAUAACAGGCUUUAUAUAGCAGAUGACACAAAUAUUCCUAAGGAUGGGACAACGUAUCAUGCGCAGAAUCCGGGCCCUUAAUUGAAAAGUAAAGGUCACACUUUGAAGUCAAGCCCAAAAGGCAUAUUUUUCCUCUCCAGACUGUAACUCAACAAUCCUUAAAGGGAUUUUAAUAUUACUUGGCACAAACAUUUACCACCAUGAGACAUAGCAGAACCAGGUCAAAGGUCAAGGUCACACUUAGAGGCCAAAGGUCAGAUCCAAGAAUGACUUUUUCGUAAGCAUAUCUUCUUCAUGUGGAAUUUUGAUGUAACUUGGCACGUAUGUUCACCACAAUAAGAGGGAUUGUCUUGCGCAACCACCAUGAGGCACCUUUGUUUUUAGAAUUACUUCCUUUUGUUGUUACUAUAAAAACUUAUAUUGUAACUUUUUUAUUACCGGCUGUAUGGAAAAAUAGAGACCACUUUUCUGUGGUACAACAUGCAUGUUAGGUGUAUUUUGACUUAUCUCUACCACGCUAGGAGUAAUGUGUAGACUUAUAUAGAUUUUUAUGAUUAACUUUGUUAACGUUUGGCAUAGAAUGUAUAUGCGGCGCUGAAAAUGUUAAAAUGGGUGAAAAUAAUAUAUAUAUAUUUGUAGUAAUGCAAGAAGAAUGUAUGUUUUCUGCAGUGGAACUUGUCUAAUCCGAACAUACUCGGACAAAUAAAAACGUUCGGAUUUGAGGGGUUUUCGGAUUAGAAAGGUUUCUAUUUUAGAAUGAAUUUUUAGCUUCAAAUAAAAUGUAAAUAUACAUACCUUUAAAGCAAAUCAGUCACUUUAAAAUGCUGUUUUUCAACUUUCAGCUGUCAGUUUAUUGUUUCUGGGAAUAUAGGAGUAAAUUUUGUUUAUAGUUUUGAUCACUCGCAAGAGGAAGAGGGGAAAUACAGUCGUUUAUAGGGUGUGCUAUUUGACGCGUUAUAGUUUGUUUAUGCUAUGGUAACGUAACGACAUAUCCGUUUUAUCAUCAUUAAGUAAGCAAUGAACAUGGUCGAAAUGUGAUGUGAUCAUCUCAGAACUUUUAUACUUGAUAAAGGCGA